UACGUAGGGUGCGAGCGUUGUCCGGAAUUACUGGGCGUAAAGAGCUCGUAGGUGGUUUGUCGCGUUGUUCGUGAAAACUCACAGCUUAACCGUGGGCGUGCGGGCGAUACGGGCAGGCUGGAGUUCGGUAGGGGAGACUGGAAUUCCUGGUGUAGCGGUGAAAUGCGCAGAUAUCAGGAGGAACGCCGGAGGCGAAAGCGAGUGACUGGCGCGUUCCUGACGCUGAGGUGCGAAAGCUAGGGGAGCAAACAGG
rnacentral:rRNA from 1 species